rnacentral:rRNA from 1 species
AUUGAACGCUGGCGGCAGGCCUAACACAUGCAAGUCGAGCGAGCGGCGGACGGGUGAGUAAUGAAUGGGGAUCUGCCCGAUAGAGGGGGAUAACUACUGGAAACGGUGGCUAAUACCGCAUCCUAUAGGAUGCACCCAUAUGGGAUUAGCUAGGAGGUGGGGUAACGGCUCACCUAGGCGACGAUCUCUAGCUGGUUUGAGAGGAAGAGCAGCCACACUGGGACUGAGACACGGCCCAGACUCCGACGGGAGGCAGCAGUGGGGAAUAUUGAACAAUGGGCGAAAUCCUGAUGCAGCCAUGCCGCGUGUAUGAAGAAGGCCUUAGGGUUGUAAAGUACUUUCAGCGGGGAGGCGUUACCCGCAGAAGAAGCACCGGCUAACUCCGUGCCAGCAGCCGCGGUAAUAC